rnacentral:rRNA from 1 species
UACGUAGGGGGCGAGCGUUGUCCGGAAUCAUUGGGCGUAAAGCGCGUGUAGGCGGCCCGGUAAGUCCGCUGUGAAAGUCCAGGGCUCAACCCUGGGAUGCCGGUGGAUACUGUCGGGCUCGAGUCCGGAAGAGGCGAGUGGAAUUCCUGGUGUAGCGGUGAAAUGCGCAGAUAUCAGGAGGAACACCUGCGGCGAAGGCGGGUUGCUGGGCCGACACUGACGCUGAGGCGCGAAAGCCAGGGGAGCGAACGGG